CGACGUUGGCGGCACUGACUCGUAAAGGACACAAAUUGAUCCAUCUUCGCCUAUUCGGUAGGAAACCUCAAAUGGAUCGACCCAAAGACUGUUUCGAGAGACUGACUAAACUGUUGAAGCCGUUCGUCGGAGAGGAGCCCAGUUGUCCUCAGAAACCUGGUAAUAAACCCCACAGCAGUAGAUAUCUCCGUCUUCAUUUUAUCGAGGAAUGGCAGUGCGUCAAGGAAAGAGACGGACCAGUUUGGCUGUGAGAUUCUUGAAACGCACCACACAGAACUAAAGCGAAAGUUAAAAGAAGUGGAAGAUAAGCUGCUGCUGAAGACUGGUGAAAUCAAAGUGCUGCGAGAUUCCCUGCGACAGACUGAACAGGAGGGGGACCAGCAGAGGAAAGCUCAGCUCCUUGAGGAGGAGAAAGCCUAGGCUCGGAGUGACAAGGAAAAGGAAUUAUUGAAAAAGGUGCAAUCCCUGCAGUCUGAACUGCUCUUUAAAGAAGCAGAGGUGACUGAGAUGAAAACCAAGCUCCAGAGCUGUGAAAGAGGGACUACAUCUGCAGCUGUUUCUGUUUCAAAAAUGAGCCCUAGGCAGAGUUCUUCUGGGAUGUUGAGGCAGUAUAUCGCUGCCUCUCCUUUGGCCACUCGGUAUUCAUUCCUUACCAAGGAGACCUUCGGUGCUGAAAUGGCUUCGAAGCACUCACCAUUAAAGGUUCAGGAGAUCAAUAUGGGCUGUUCUGCCAAGGAAGGAUCCAUUCUACUAAACCUCCUGCUUCAGCAUCCCCUGGGUCCUGGCUCUCUGGGUCUAUGUCACCUACUCAGCAUCAGCCCUGAUGCUCUGUCUGGCUCCUUGUCUCAACACGGCUGCUUCAACACGUAAGCAUAGUUAUAUGUACAGCAAUCUUUCUUUGUUCAUCUGCUUAAUAUUAAUCACUUUAAUUUUACACGCUUCAGCAAUACUGGCAUUGCACCCCUUGAUAUGUAGUCCUCUCUUUACAUAUGUCACUAUCAUUUGUACCAAUGUGUUUAAUAGCGAUUUAUCGUUGAGCUCCAGCGGUUUGUCAACAGAGACUAAAACAAGCAACAGAACUCACAAUGGUUACUUUGGAAACUGUGGACCUCCUUCACCCGCUGUUGGAGAAGCUACUGUAGCUCGCAGAUCCAGCUUUCACAAAUACUCCCCAUCACAGAGACACUGUGUUGAUCCAUAGUUGGAAGACUUUGAACAUGCUGGCUGAGAGUGCAUUGUUUUACAAGGGUGGUGAUACAGGUAGAGUACAGAAGUUUGUCAUGAUGCUAACUGUAUUAUGUCCCUUGAAUACUGUGACCAUGAAAUUAGUGCCUAACUGGGCUUGCCGUGUGAUGCAAUACUGGUAAACAGUGUGUGUGUGCUCAGAGUAUGGUACAGGUUUGGACCAAUAUCUAAUGAAACUGAAGUAGGAACAUCACUUUUACCAUCGUAUAUUCCUGAUAGCAAUAUCUGAUGAAUAACAUAAGUUCUACCACUUUUUAAAUCUUUGUUUGUUGUUUCAAU